rnacentral:rRNA from 1 species
GUUGACGGUACAGCGGGAGCUUGCUCCCGGCUGACGAGUGGCGGACGGGUGAGUAACGCGUAGGAAUCUGCCCAGUAGUGGGGGACAACCCGGGGAAACUCGGGCUAAUACCGCAUACGCCCUACGGGGGAAAGGUGGCCUCUCCUUGGAAGCUGCCACUAUUGGAUGAGCCUGCGUUGGAUUAGCUAGUUGGUAGGGUAACAGCUUACCAAGGCGACGAUCCAUAGCUGGUCUGAGAGGACGAUCAGCCACACUGGGACUGAGACACGGCCCAGACUCCUACGGGAGGCAGCAGUGGGGAAUAUUGCACAAUGGGGGAAACCCUGAUGCAGCAAUGCCGCGUGUGUGAAGAAGGCCUGCGGGUUGUAAAGCACUUUNNAUU